AAUCAACGCUGGCGGCGUGCCUCAGACAUGCAAGUCGAACGAUUAAGACUCUCUUCGGAGAGUGUAUAAAGUGGCGCACGGGUGAGUAACACGUAGGUAAUGUACCGAAGGGUGGGGAAUAACUUAGGGAAACUUAAGCUAAUACCGCAUAAUGCAGCGGCUCGACAUCGAGACAGUUGUUAAAGGAGCAAUCCGCCUUUUGAGCAGCCUGCGGCAGAUUAGCUAGUUGGUAAGGUAAUGGCUUACCAAGGCUACGAUCUGUAACCGACCUGAGAGGGUGGUCGGUCACACUGACACUGAAUAACGGGUCAGACUCCUACGGGAGGCAGCAGUCGGGAAUUUUGGGCAAUGGGCGAAAGCCUGACCCAGCAACGCCGCGUGAAGGAUGAAGUAUUUCGGUAUGUAAACUUCGUAAGAAUAGGAAGAAUAAAUGACGGUACUAUUUGUAAGGUCCGGCUAACUACGUGCCAGCAGCCGC
rnacentral:rRNA from 1 species